rnacentral:tRNA from 1 species
UACACUUUAGUAUAGAUGUACGAAAAUUUUUGAUAUUUUUAGAGGUAGUUUGGGACUAUUAAGUGUAG